rnacentral:rRNA from 1 species
UUCCCUGUGGUGUUUUUNNNACAAACCCCAUUUCUGUUUUUUUUUUUUUAUUUAAAAAACGGGCCCGGGCCCCGGCCCUUUUUUUUACNUUCAAGGGGUACAAAAAACGUAAAACGCCAAAAGCCUCAAACCCCAUUUUUCCCAAGCCACCCCCAAACUACACCCCUGAGGGUGUUGGGUUGUAUCUCCCGACAUUCAUAGGUGCACAGUGGAAGGAAAAAAACCAGGCCGGCCCCCCCCCCGGGGGGCCCCCCUUCCCCCCCCCCCUCCCAAAAUCCCGGGACUUUCCUCCCCCNAUAAGGGGGCCUGCGGAAGGAUCAUUAACGAGUUUUGAAGUGGGUUUGAUGCUGGCCUUCCCAGGCAUGUGCUCGCCCUGCUCUCAUCCACUCACACCUGUGCACCUAUAAAUGUCAGAAGAUUCAUCCCCUAGACUCUUAGGGGUGUAGUUCGAGCUAGCUUGGACUAUUGGGUUGAGUCUUUUGCGUUUACCUUUUUAUAAACUCUUGAAUGUAAUAGAAUGUCCAUGGCCUACGGGCUUUUAUAAAUGAAAUACAACUUUCAACAACGGAUCUCUUGGCUCUCGCAUCGAUGAAGAACGCAGCGAAAUGCGAUAAGUAAUGUGAAUUGCAGAAUUCAGUGAAUCAUCGAAUCUUUGAACGCACCUUGCGCUCCUGGGCUAUUCCUAGGAGCAUGCCUGUUUGAGUGUCUUGAAAUCAUCAACCCCAGUUGGAUUUUAAAUUUGACUGGUGGCUUGGACUUGGGGGCUUGCUGGCCGUUUUGAUUCGGUCUGGCUUCCCUUGAAUGCAUUAGCUUGGACUUGUUCCUAAGGCUUCAUGGCGUGAUAAUUAUCUACGCUUUGUACUGUCUGUGGAAUAUCUAUGGGUCUGGCUUCUAACUGUCCUCUGGACAAUCUUUCAAUCUUGACCUCAAAUCAGGUAGACNCCNC